UACGUAGGUGGCAAGCGUUGUCCGGAUUUAUUGGGCGUAAAGAGCGUGUAGGCGGUUCGGUAAGUCUGUCGUGAAAUCCUGAGGCUCAACCUCGGGCGUGCGAUGGAUACUGCCGGGCUAGAGUCCGGAAGAGGCGAGUGGAACUCCUGGGUGUAGCGGUGGAAUGCGCAGAUAUCAGGAAGAACACCAACGGCGAAGGCAGCUCGCUGGGACGGUACUGACGCUGAGACGCGAAAGCGUGGGGAGCGAACAGG
rnacentral:rRNA from 1 species